UUCCGUUGAUCCUGCGGAGGGUCGCUGCUAUUGGGAUUCGAUUUAACCAUGCAAGUCAAGGGGUCUCUUCGGAGACACCGGCGUAAUGCUCAGUAACACGUCGAUAAUCUGGCCUUAGAUUUGGGAUAGCCCUGGGGAACUGGGGGUAAACCCGAAUAGGGGAUUAUGGCUGGAAUGCCUUAUCCUUUAAAAGCAAUGUCUAAGGGUGAGUCGGCGGCUGAUUAGGUUGUUGGUGGGGUAAUGGCCCACCAAGCCGAAGAUCAGUAGGGGCCUUGAGAGAGGGAGCCCCGAGAAGGGAACUGAGAUACUGUCCCUAGCCCUACGGGGUGCAGCAGGUGCGAAACCUUUACACUGCACGAAAGUGUGAUAAGGGAAUCCCAAGUGCUAAUGCUUUGCAUUGGCUUUUGCCAAGAGUAAAUAUCUUGGCGAAUAAGUGGUGGGCAAGACGGGUGCCAGCCGCCGCGGUAACACCCGCGCCACAAGUGGGGACCUCGUUUAUUGGGCCUAAAGCGUCCGUAGCUGGUUUAGUAAAUCUUCCGUGAAAUCGUUGGGCUUAACCCAACGGCGUGCAGGGGACACUACUAGACUUGGAACCGGGAGGAGUUAGGAGUAUUCUGGGGGGAGCGGUAAAAUGCUAUAAUCCUCGGAAGACUACCUGUGGCGAAGGCGCCUAACCAGAACGGAUUCGACAGUGAGGGACGAAAGCUAGGGGAGCGAACCGGAUUAGAUACCCGAGUAGUCCUAGCAGUAAACGCUGCGAGCUAGGCGUUGCAGGAUCUUCGGGAUUCUGCAGUGUCGUAGUGAAGACGUUAAGCUCGCCGCCUGGGAAGUACGGUCGCAAGGCUGAAACUUAAAGGAAUCGGCGGGGGAGCACUACAACGAGUGAAACGUGCGGUUUAAUCUAAUUAUACACUGAGAAUCUCACCAGGAGCGACUGCAGGAUGAAAGUCAGGUUAAUGGCCUUACUUGACGAGCAGAGAGGUAGUGCAUGGUUGUCGUAAGCUCGUGCCGUAAGGUGUCCUCUUAAGUGGGGCAACGAGCGAGACCUACAUCUACAGUUGCUAGCAACUUCUUUAGAAGGAUUGAGCACACUGUAGAGACUGCCCGGGAAACUGGGAGGAAGGCGUAGGCAAUGGCAGAUCUGUAUGCUCCGAAUCUUCUGGGCUACACGCGCGUCACAAUGGUAGGAACAAAGGGCUGCAACUCCGAAAGGAGAAGCUAAUCCUCCAAAUCCUAUCUUAGUUCUGAUUGAGGGUUGUAACUCACCCUCAUGAUGCUGGAAUUCGUAGUAAUCGGGUGUUAUCAGCGCCCGGUGAAUAUGUCCCUGCUCCUUGCACACACCGCCCGUCAUUCCAUCCGAGCCGGGUUUUGGUGAGGCUUAUUCAUUUGGGUAAGUCGAACCUAAGCUCAGUGAGGCGGGGCAAGUCGUCACAAGGUA
rnacentral:rRNA from 1 species